rnacentral:rRNA from 1 species
GACAGAGGGUGCAAACGUUGUUCGGAAUUACUGGGCGUAAAGCGAGUGUAAGCGGUUUGGUAAGUCGGAUGUGAAAGCCCCGGGCUCAACCCGGGAAGUGCACUCGAUACUGCCAAGCUAGAGUAUCGGAGAGGUUGGUGGAAUUCUCGGUGUAGAGGUGAAAUUCGUAGAUAUCGAGAGGAACACCGGUGGCGAAGGCGGCCGCCUGGACAGUCACUGACGCUGAGACGCGAAAGCGUGGGGAGCAAACAGG